AAAGGAAGUUCCCAAGGAAUUUUUAUAUGUUAAAGUAGGGGUUUGGCCUAAGAUGGCCUCUUGCCCUCAGCAAGGUAUCAACGUGGCGGCAGCUGAGCUCCCAGGGGAAGGUCACUCUGCCUGUUUCAAGGACUUGUCAAAGGGCUGUAGGGAGUGAGGGAAAUUUUCUUUUGCCUUUGCUUCCCGCAUCGGUUUCUGCUGCUCACUCGGCCUGGCGUCUUCCGGAAGCCUCCCCCCACCCAGCGGCGCAGCACCACAGCGUGGCCCAGGCGUGAAGGAAGGAGCGGUACCAGCCAACACGACUCUGACGUUGCAUUUCCCUCGUCGUAGUUUAAAGAGUUGAGUCCAACCGUCACCGGUAGCUCCCGAGGAGGCUCGGUAUGGAAGGGAUCCUCCAAACAGAAUGUGAUGCUAAGGUUAGUUCCGACGUCACCGUUCACCGCUCAGAGGAGACAAACGGCUGGUGGGCACAAAGCUGCGGCUCUGUUCUCCAGAAGGAAGGGCAAGUGCCGAAGAGGAGGGAAUCCGCUGUGUUUAUCAGGCUUUUCCCCCUAAAGACGGAUACCCCAGGGCGCUGCUCAAGUGGCCUCCUCGCCAGUCCAGCCCUGGCUGCCUCCACCGUCUCCCCAGAGGCCCAGGGCUGGUUCCACAGUGAGCAGCACCCACCUGCAGGGCCCUCCCAGCCGAGGUCAACGUCCAGGCGUCCUGGGUUUGCUGCCUCUUAAGGGAGCCUCCUGCUACUUUGCAUGCUACUUGUUUCCUGAGCAGGAGAAACACUGCUUAAAAGGAUUAAUUUGGCUGGUGCUCCAGAGAAUUUGGAAGGAUUCUGAGACGGCCCUCAGAUUUCCCCCUCCUGGAGUUCAUGUUCUGUGGUAUCUCUUCCUGUUGGAUAAGGAUGGGACCUAUGAAUCGAUUGGAUGUCACUGCUGUGAUUAGGUUACACUAUAUGAUAAAGGAGUUGGAUUGACUAAGUGAAACCUGAAGUUUAAGAUGCUAAUAACAAAUGUUAACACCGUGUCUCCUGCAGUAACGAUGUGUCAUUUAUUACCUACGAAGAAAACUCAUAAUUACAUUAAUAAAACUCAAUAAUGAAACCUUAAGUACUAUCUUACAGAUUUUAUUAUUAUUUUUUAUUUAUUCAUGAGAGACACAGAGAGAGAGAGGCAGAGACACAGGCAGAGGGAGAAGCAGGCUCCCUGCGGGAAGCUGGACGUGGGACUCGAUCCCGGGACCCCGGGUCACACCGUGGGCAGAAGGCAGGCGCUCAGCCUCUGAGCCCCCCGGGCGCCCCUGAUCUUGCAUAUUUUAAAACACAUUACUAAAGUCUUUGAAAAUACUGCAUCUCCUGCGCUGAGCGCCCCGCAGCCUCCAGGGGUGUGACUAUCGCUUGGUUUAUGGCCUUACCCCUAUCACUAUCUGGGAAGUUUCAAGCACCUCUUCGCUGUCGAGCGGGUUCGUGCAGUGGCUCGACCAGAGCAUGCUUCACCCCCAUCGCAUCAC